GUGCUCACUUCAGCAGCACAUAUAGUAAAAUUGGAACAAUACAGAGAAGAUUAGCAUGGGCCUUGCACAAGAAUGACACGUGAAUUUGUGAGGCAUUCCACAUAUUU
ensembl:snRNA U6 U6 spliceosomal RNA